rnacentral:lncRNA from 1 species
CUUCAUUGACCUAUGUCAAUGCAGAAUAACUAUUCAGUAGUGCAGAACAUCCCUUUUGUUUGGUGGUUUUGAAAUCAUGAAGAGUCAUGUUUCAGGAAUAAAACCAAACCUUACAAGGCUCAAUGGGCAAAGUUAUGCUCCUGUAUACAUAACAGAGUAGAAUCAAGUUCUUAAAUGUGCCAAAGUCUAAAUAAUUCCGUCUGUGUGUCCCUUUGUGUGUUUGAGUGCAUCUGUGCAAGUGUGUGCAUGUGUGCGUGUGGGUGUGUUUUGUGUGUUCAGGCGUGUGUUGAACAGACAACGCGGUGCAUAUCUCAGGGACAGGGCAGUCAAGACUCCACUCUAUAUCAACUGCACGGAGGUGACACAUGUCUAUUCCAACGGCAGCUAUCAACUGGUUUACCAGAACGCCACGCCCCUCUUUGUACGCACCAAUCAGACUCGGCCGAUAGGAAGAAGAGGAGGAGAGAGGCGCAUGCGAGCAAGAAGAGGGAGAGGAAGAAGAGAUAGAGCGACACGAAGGGAGACGAGCAGCCGGGAGGAAACGGAGACGGCCAUCUACGUUGAGAUCCUCUGACACUUCACACAUCCAUAUGUUUAUAAUUUGAUUAAAGGACAACAUGUAACAUAAUGAGAAAUUAAAACAAUUCUGUUUUUUUAUUUUUUUAUUCAAAGACGACGCCACCUCUUGAUAUGAGUAAUCAUCAGGCCUUCAUGGUAGCAUCCUCCCCUUUGUGGUAUCAUAAAAACUCACUUUAUCUUAACAUUUAAACUGCUGAUGAUUUGUUAUUUCCCUAGACCAUUUGUUGUGAGGGUCGUCUGUCCCUCACAUGAACUAGCCACGUGGUCUUUGUGAGGUUAUUCUAUAUUUCUUUUUAAAUCAUUAUUGAGGUUGCAUAAAAUAAAACCCUUACAACUCCCGUAUUUCCCAAGUGAAAAUUGUAUGUGAUAACAGCAAUGAUAUGUUAUGAUUAACAUUAUACGUCUACGUGGUUGAGAAUGCUUAAAUCCAAUUGGCUGAAAAUGCGCAGAUCUCCGGAUGUGACGUCUCAAAACGCGUCGAGUAUCCGGUGCGCAACUCCGUAUUGUAUUAUUUUCUUUUUGAUAUUGAAUAGGGUAUUCUAGCGUUCAUCAUGUUUAUAUAGUCUAUGCGUCACUUAAAACGUAGACUAUGAACAUAGAGCGAUAAUCUGACGUGAUAUGGCCAGCAAUAAUGAUGUUAUUCAUAUCCUAAAGUAGAAGAAAGUUCUCUAUUGUGUGCUCGCAGGCUAUCCCAUUAGCCAAGUAUUGUCCUACUUAUAUCAGUGUAGGUAAGUUAUACACUGCUGCCGGGAGUUGUAUUAACCUAACUGAAACUAUUUAUUGCUGAACCUUUACAUCCACGUCCUGUUAAUAUAUUACGCCCAGAAGUACUUUUUUCUACCAAA